UCCAGCCCUCCAGAUGUUGCUGAACUACAACUCCCAUGAUUCUAUGAAUGCAAUAGACAGGCUGAGAAUCAUGGGAGUUGUAGUACAGCAACAUCUGGAGGGCUGGAGUAG
rnacentral:miRNA from 1 species